rnacentral:tRNA from 2 species
GGGCGUGUGGCCUAGUCAGGACAGGGCGGCAGCCUCCUAAGCUGUAGGUCGGGGGUUCAAAUCCCCCCACGCCCGC